UAGGGAAUCUUCCACAAAUGGACGAAAGUACUGAUGGAGCAACGCCGCGUGAGUGAAGAAGGGUUUCGGCUCGUAAAACUCUGUUGUUAAAGAAGAACAUAUCUGAGAGUAACUGUUCAGGUAUUGACGGUAUUUAACCAGAAAGCCACGGCUAACUACGUGCCAC
rnacentral:rRNA from 1 species